CAAGGAAUGCCCGCAGCCUGGGAUUCCUCCUAAGCCAUGUCCCAUCUGUGCGGGACCCCACUGGAAAUUGGACUGUUCAACUCACCUGGUAGCCACUCCCAGGGCCCCUGGAACUCUGGCCCAAGGCUCUCUGACUGACUCCUUCCCAGAUCUUCUCAGCUUAGCGGCUGAACACUGACACUGCCCGAUCGCCUCAGAAGCCCUGUAGACCAUCACGGACGCCGAGCUUUAGGUAACUCUCACAGUGGAGGAGACAGGAAUGUUAGGCCUCUGAGCCCAAGCUAAGCCAUCAUAUCCCCUGUGACCUGCACGUACACAUCCAGAUGGCUGGUUCCUGCCUUAACUGAUGACAUUCCACCACAAAAGAAGUGAAAAUGGCCUGUUCCUGCCUUAACUGAUGGCAUUAUCUUGUGAAAUUCCUUUUCCUCGCUCAUCCUGGCUCAAAAGCUCCUCUACUGAGCACCUUGUGACCCCCCACUCCUGCCUGCCAGAGAACAACCUCCCUUUUUCCUUUACCUAACCAAAUCCUAUAAAAGGGCCCCACCCCUAUCUCCCUUCGCUGACUCUCUUUUUGGUCUCAGCCCACCUGCACCCAGGUGAAAUAAACAGCUUUAUUGCUC
rnacentral:lncRNA from 1 species